CACAAAUAAAUGAAACGGCUCUGAAGGGAAAAGAUGAGUCGUUAAUUGUCUGGUCAUCAGAGUGAGGUGUUGCGGGAUGUUCCAGAAUCCUUUAAUCAUUCGGUAUUGUUAGUAUGUGUGUGUGUGUUUAUGAGUCUGCCGUGCUCCAUGUAAUCUUCCCGCCCCGCCUCGUGCACGCGCACGUCACGCCGGUCAUGUGAUGACAAUGCGUGGAGCGCGUGCACUCGCACACGUCCCCGUUUCAUCAUCAGCUGAGCCCUUUUUCCUCCACUCACAACUCUUCUCCACUCCCUCUCUCGCCCCCUCCCCUCUCGGCUCUAGCUUCUUUUUCUAUCCAUAGCUCUCCUCCUCUCUCCCUGGGUCCCGGCCGGGUAGACUAGGACGAGAGGGGAAAAAACGCUCUGCUGCUAUUUCUACAGCCAGGCCCUCCCCUUUGGCUGUAGCCUGUGCCAAAAGAGGGAGGGAUUUUUUACUACUCCCAGUCCCAGGAUUUUAACCCCAUGCCUGCACUCGCUGCCCUCUGCAAGAUCUGCUACUCAAUAUCCUGCAACAAGUGGCUUCGCUUUGCUCCUACUUCGACAACGCCGCGCCAUUUGCAGAGACGUUUUUCCGGGACCCCCGUUUUCUUCCCCCCCGUCCCCCACCCACCCCCAUACAUUCAGACGUUUUUUUGCUGCUUCUGGACUGCUGUCGGUAGAGUUAAACUGGCCUGGGGGAUUUCAGUGUUUUUUUGGGGGGGGCUUGGGCUCCACCGGGAUGCAGAGGCUUUCUGGAGCACGUGCUCAGCGAUUGCUCGCCAUGCUUCCUUGUCUCGUGAGUCCUCCCUAGAGCUGAGGACGAAGACAAUUUGUGUCCCCGACGGCCACUCCGCCUGCUGCUCGAUUCAGUAGAGGAGAUGUGGACGGACCGUGUGCUGCUGCAGAGGGACCCGGCGCGAUGAUCAACGGCGAAUUUCGGUGCUUUACCCAGGAUAGCUGAUCACCCCACCAUAUGUCUGCCAGUUGUCUCCAAAAUCUCAGUGGUAAGUCCUCGAGUGUGUGUUUGUGUGCGUGUGUGUGUAGGACGUUUUCAGCGGUUUUAUAUCGGCAAAGCGAUGACACACAAAGACGAUAUUGAAACGGCAAAGCACAAAUUCGGUUGUCCCGAUCACAGAGUUUGGAAUCAGGGUGUCCGAUCCUUCAGGCUUAACUAAAUAUAGUGAGACUAGAGGGGUAACGCAGCAUCUCAGACAAAUCCAAGCUAUUCUCCCCUCUAAGGGUAUUCCUACCUGCAGUUUUGCAAUCCAGGUUGUGUGUGUGUGUGUGUGUGUGUGUGUGUGUGUGUGUGUGUGUGUGUGUGUGUGUGUGUGUGUGUGUGUGUGUGUGUGUGUGUGUGUGUGUGUGUGUGUGAGAAAGAGAGACGGUUUUGGAGGGAGCAGAGAUCAGGGCUGCAACUUUGGGCCGAGGGAAAGACAAGGCCUGCCACAGAAGGCCGAGCCCCGCAGUAUCGUUCUCUCUCUCCCACUCUCUCUCACCCUUUCUCUCUCCUAGUCAGCUAUCAGAAAAAUAUUAACAGUAAUUAUUGUAUUGAGCUUUCUUGUGAAAAAAAACUCAUCUUUGUGAAUAUGGCGAGCUUUUGGUCGUCAAAGAUUACAUUUUUUGCUGACACGUGGCCACACAUAGCUCUGAUAUAGCUCAAACAAGCCCUUUUGGAAAUACCUGUUAUAACCAAUGUUUUAUGCAAUGUGAAGAAUAACAUAUAAACACUAUUUAGGUUUAUGUAACUGAACCGAAACAGAGCAGUAUGCUGUAUAAGAAACCUCGAUAAGUUUAAGUGUCAUGAAUUUAAGAUCACUUCUACUUAAUCUCGUAGGAAGAAUACCAGCUCAAUUUUUAUCUGUAUUAUGUUUUGCACAUAAUUAAAACCCUCAAUGUGCUACACCCAUCACCGAUACCUUGCAGCAUGGCAUGUUUUAAUCAUCCUCCAUCAAUCACUUUUUUUCAAACCAUCGCUAAUUAAAAAUUCUCAACUCUCCGAACCCUUUGUCGACUCGGCUUCAUGUUGAGCACCUCGGCACAUCGGCGUCUCCCAUGAUCAACCACCAAUAGGUAGGAGUGGAGUGAGUCAUCCCAGAUAGCUCGAGUCCCCCCCCACCUACAUCCCACGUCUGACACGCUGCGAGGUCCACUUUGCUCGCUGGAUUUGGUUGGUCCUAUCUCGGCCCGGUGAAGGUACGAGUUAGCACCUCGACGGAUGUAGAAUCGACAUCUCAUUGUUAAUGUGCUCACGGCGCAAAGGAAGGCUGCCGUAGAUUUUAUACUUUAUCUCUUCUUUUCUAUCUUUAUCUUUUCUACCUCAUUGCAUUGAACCCACUCACACGCAGUGUGGAUAAAUAAAAAUUAAAUCAUUUUUGCCCUCAAGCGCCCGACAGGGAAACGUGGAUGAAGACGCUUAAAUACCGGUUUCGUAAUUUGGAGCCUGUUGAUCAGCCCCAUCUACUUUUGGAAAAAUGUUGAUCCUCUGACACGGAAAUGUUUCAAAGUGUCCCGUGCAUACUUGCACUGUAUGAUCUGUCAGGUCUGUUUCUGAAUUACUAGAGAGUCAUGGAGUUAAUGCCGCAAGAUGUUGGCAGACUAUUUCCCCCGAGAAGACGAAAAAUAAAAUAAAAUGUUGUUUGACCUUGGAAUUAAUUUAAAUAUAUAUAUAUUUUCACCUAAAAACUAAGUUUUGCUUAAUGAUAAAUCAAUGUAUUUUUUUAUGAUGCCUAAAUUGUGAUUUUUUUUCUCAAUAGGUAAUUUGGUGUUAAUUCAUUUGAUUUGUUACAGCAUGUUUGAACACCAAUAACUGACGGGAAUUCAGUCUAACAUAAAGACCAUGAUACCACAUCUUGAAUCAGACACACAGGACGCACACACAGACACACACACGCACAAGCAAACACCCAGACACAUUUGAUGCUAUGUACCCCACAAUGAACCCUGGCUCUUAAGAUGAAUGGGGUUCCCACGCCUCUCCCAAGGAGUGCAGGGCACAGCCUCCUCCUCUGCGCAUUUUCACACACACACCCACACACACACACACACACACACAAUGCACAAACUACAGAUGGCCACACAGUCUCCCCCAAUCACACAUAGGUGCAUUAGAGUAUAAUAAACACACACAAAGGCGCACACACACACAAAUAUAGAUUAUUAUUCUGAGCACUCCCAAUCCUGAUGAGGGUUAAAGAGGAAAGGAGACACAGCUCUAACUUAAUUGCUCGCGGUUCAAAAAGUUGGCAUUAAAAUCAGCUUUUGAUUUGUUAAGCAUUACGGAGGAAGUUAGCGUUUGUUUAGCAGGGAGAAUUCAAAAGAAGCAGAAACAAAAGUUUGUGGGAAAAUCCAAAUCUCCAUAUCUAAGGGUUGAGCAAUACAAAGUCCUUCUGUGCAAAUGUUUUGUUUUUAACAAAUACACACACAUAUAUAUACACACACUGAUACAUGUGUCCAUACAUACAUACAUUUAUAUAUAUAAAUAUGUAUGAUAUUUCUCAAUUUAAAUCUUUAGAUUAAAAUAGGGAUUUUUUCAAAUCUAUUUUUGUAUAAUUUAAUUUUUUUUAAACUAGACUGGUUUUUUUUGUUACAAUAUAUACACUAUAUUGUUAUUUCUAUAUAUUUUCUAUAGAUUGUCAAUUAUGCUUUAUGAUUGAUAAAAUACCUUUUCUCAAAGAACUUGUGUGAGGGGAGACUUGUAACAUGAACUAUAUAUUUUGUACAUUUGUACAAGUACUAUUUGCAUAGUAUUUAAAAUUUUCAAAGAAAUGUGGAUUUUAUAGUAGCUUGAUUUGAUUGAUUCUUCUAUUAUUUCCUCGUAUAUUUUAAACAUGUUUAAGACUUUUAAAAUUCCAGCAUUUUAUUUUUUAGAAGCUAAUUAAAUAAAAUCUAGACAGAUGUAAUAAAUAAAAUAAAGCAAUGUGAUUCCCACUGGUCAUUUUCCAAAGCCAAUACUUAUGUAUAUGUAUUAGUGGCUAGUGUAUCGUAAUAUAUUUAUGCAGACUAAAUACGGUUGCAGUAUUCUGAGCCAUGAUAACAUAAUGAAACAGUUACGUAGCUGCUUGGCAGGUUCAUGACCUGAGGACUACACGGACACCUUGGUCCGUUGUGUGAAUGCAUCCUCAUUGUAUUUCGUGUGUGUGUGUGUGUGUGUGUGUGUGUGUGUAACUAUUUUUACGUGUCUGUUUUUUUCUUUUAUUUGCAGGCGCAGUAUUUAGGAACUCAACUCCUGGGCCCUCCUCAUUGUCAAGGCCGAGGAAACCCGAGAGGAGGAGAGCUGACAAACUAAUGAGACAAGCUGACGUAAGGCGUAAGCGCAGGAAGUAUUCUGACAGCAUUCUUUGAUGUGCCACAAUUAAGACAUGAAGACAAAAUACACUGCUGCAGUUUAAUCAGUCCAUAUGUUCAGGUUCUCGGGGUCACGUCACGUUUUGACAAAAUUGAUGAAAGCUAUAACUGAAUUAGAGUACUAGGAAUAAGGAAACUUUCUUUUUUAUUUCUUAGUUCUAAAGUUAUUGAAACUUCUGAGACCAUGUUUAAAGUGAAUAAAAAUCAACCCACAAAAUAUACAAUACAAUAACACACGAGAAAUAAUGUGAGUCACACUUUUCAGCCAUCAAAAUAGAGAAGCUAUUUUCAUUCGAUUAACUUGUAUGAGAAGGGCCUUCGGUCUUCUGAGUUUGUUCUCCCAGAUCGACCAUCAGCCGCGGGAUACGAGAGACAACUGUGGCAGAUCAACGGCCCUUUGGGGUGAGGUAGUAGGUUGUAUAGUUUUAGGGUCAUUCCCAAGCUGUCAGAUGACUAUACAACUUACUGUCUUUCCUGAAGCGGCAGUAAUGGCGGCGCCUUCAUCGGCACAAAGGAUCUUUGAUUAGCUGACAAUCUUCUGAGUAUAUCUUUUAUCUCCAAUGUUAUCAAAACUAACCUUGCUGUAUUUACACAAUAGGUGCACACAGAGACAAGAUGAGUACACUUCAUGGUGCUCGUACAGGGUGAGGUAGUAGGUUGUGUGGUUUCAGGGUUGUUAUUUUACCCCAUCGGGAGUUAACUAUACAACCUACUGCCUUUCCUGGAGGGCAACAAUACAUCACAGGAGCAUUCAUGUCACCUUUCUACUCAGGAAGAAACUCAUCUGGCAUUUGAUUUCAAAUGGGUGAGUGUUGCUAAAUCACAUUAAGCAUUUCAUAGCAACCGUCAAUGCUUAACACAUUCUUUACUAAUGUGGAUACCAUGUCAUUUUACAUGGUAUCCACAUUAGUAAAAAAUGUGGCUUUGAAAAUAUCAUUUUCAGAAUCAUGAAUGUUUUAAUUUUGUACUGUUACAUCAAUUCAUAAAUAAAGUCUGGUUCAGAAAUAAUAUGAGAACAAACAAUGACUGGAGGGUUUUCAUGAGGCUUUAACGUGUGGAUGUUCUGUAUCUAUGUGGUGAAGAUUCACAAUUCAAAGUACACAUAAAAUAUGUUCAUCAUUAUGUAACAUAAAGUUUACUCGAGGCUUUCACAAUUUUACAUUGCAUCCCGUACUCCCUCUCCGGGGCAUAUAUCUGGUUCGCACUUUGUAUUUCACUUAAUUAUGCUUCACAGUGUGGAA
ensembl:lncRNA